rnacentral:rRNA from 1 species
GACGAACGCUGGCGGCGUGCUUAACACAUGCAAGUCGAACGGAAAGGCCCCUUUGGGGGUACUCGAGUGGCGAACGGGUGAGUAACACGUGAGUAACCUGCCCUUGACUUCGGGAUAACUUCAGGAAACUGGGGCUAAUACCGGAUAGGAAUCCUUGCUGCAUGGUGGGGGUUGGAAAGCUUCGGCGGUUUUGGAUGGACUCGCGGCUUAUCAGCUUGUUGGUGGGGUAGUGGCUUACCAAGGCUUUGACGGGUAGCCGGCCUGAGAGGGCGACCGGCCACAUUGGGACUGAGAUACGGCCCAGACGCCUACGGGAGGAAGCAGUGGGGAAUAUUGCACAAUGGGCGGAAGCCUGAUGAAGCAACGCCGCGUGCGGGAGGACGGCCUUCGGGUUGUAAACCGCUUUCAGCAGGGGCGAAGCUUGUGGUGACGGUACCUGCAGAAGAAGCACCGGCUAACUACGUG